GUCGUUUCCGCCUCCGUCUUUUGAUUCCUGCGUCUAUUUCCGACUCUGGCCUGUGGUGAGUCAGGGCAGAGGUCUUGAUUUCUUCUUAAGGCGAUGACGGGGAAGAUACCGGCAUCACCGCCGCCAUAGAGUUCCAUCACCAGCUUGACGCCGCCCGCCCAGCCGCUUCCUCCAGUCUGUCCUCAGGUUAUUUUCAGGGAGACCUACUGGCUACGAUUUUGGUCAAUGUUGCAGCAUAAGGAGACGACAAAGGAUCUGUUCAUUAAGAUCAACACUUCUUUGGAGAUAAUAGCCUUAGAAAUGUUUGCGAGUCAUGGAUGGAAGUAUAAUAAUAGACUUUGUCAAGCUUAAUUUUUUUGUUCUCCUGUUAUUCAAAAGCUGGAAAAAUUGUAAUAAUUGAAUGUUAUGUACAUUAGAGUCUGGAAAAUUCCAUUAUCUAAAAAAAUAUUCCUUCCAAAGCCGAAAA